GCCGAAUUAGCUCAGUCGGCAGAGCGCACGACUCUUAAUCGUGUGGUCGUGGGUUCGAUCCCCACAUUCGGUGGCCUA
rnacentral:tRNA from 1 species